GGAGAGGUGGCCGAGUGGCUGAAGGCAGCGGUUUGCUAAACCGCCGUACUGGGUAAACCGGUACCGCGGGUUCGAAUCCCGCCCUCUCCGCAA
rnacentral:tRNA from 1 species